AUGAUGUUUCAUCAAGUGAGUGUGGACUUUAAUACAGAAAUGAGCUUUGUUAAAUAUAAGACUCUUUCUUUGGAUUAUAUCCUUAGGCUUUGCUUCAGAAGAGAAAUCUCCAGGGGAAAACAAUAUGACUAUUUUAUGGGUUUUGAUAUACGUCAGGAAUGUCUAAAUGGAGAUGGUUGA
rnacentral:lncRNA from 1 species